rnacentral:rRNA from 1 species
GAUGAACGCUGGCGGCGUGCUUAACACAUGCAAGUCGAACGGAAAGGCUCCUGCUUACAGGGGUACUCGAGUGGCGAACGGGUGAGUAACACGUGGGUGAUCUGCCCUGCACUUCGGGAUAAGCCUGGGAAACUGGGUCUAAUACCGGAUAGGACCACAUUUUGGAUGGUGUGGUGGAAAGUUUUUCGGUGUGGGAUGAGCUCGCGGCCUAUCAGCUUGUUGGUGGGGUAAUGGCCUACCAAGGCGUCGACGGGUAGCCGGCCUGAGAGGGUGUACGGCCACAUUGGGACUGAGAUACGGCCCAGACUCCUACGGGAGGCAGCAGUGGGGAAUAUUGCACAAUGGGCGCAAGCCUGAUGCAGCGACGCCGCGUGGGGGAUGACGGCCUUCGGGUUGUAAACUCCUUUCGCUAGGGACGAAGCGUUUUUGUGACGGUACCUGGAGAAGAAGCACCGGCUAACUACGUG